rnacentral:rRNA from 1 species
CCUACGGGUGGCUGCAGUGGGGAAUAUUGGACAAUGGGGGCAACCCUGAUCCAGCCAUGCCGCGUGUGUGAAGAAGGCCCUCGGGUUGUAAAGCACUUUCAGUGAGGAAGAACGCCUGGUGGUUAAUACCCAUCAGGAAAGACAUCACUCACAGAAGAAGCACCGGCUAACUCCGUGCCAGCAGCCGCGGUAAUACGGAGGGUGCGAGCGUUAAUCGGAAUUACUGGGCGUAAAGCGCGCGUAGGUGGCUGGAUAAGCCGGUUGUGAAAGCCCCGGGCUCAACCUGGGAACGGCAUCCGGAACUGUCAAGCUAGAGUGCAGGAGAGGAAGGUAGAAUUCCCGGUGUAGCGGUGAAAUGCGUAGAGAUCGGGAGGAAUACCAGUGGCGAAGGCGGCCUUCUGGACUGACACUGACACUGAGGUGCUAAAGCGUGGGUAGCAAACAGGAUUAGAUACCCUGGUAGUC